rnacentral:misc_RNA from 1 species
AAGAAUUGCCCUGUUUUUUCGAAAAUGGGAUCUAUUCCAAACCGUGUAUACAUACCUUUGUUGCUUUGGCGGGCCGCCGUCUCGGCGUUGGCUCCGGCUGACUGUGCCCGCCAGAGGACCACAACUCUUCUGUUUAGUGAUGUCUGAGUACUAUAUAAUAGUUA